UACGUAGGGUGCGAGCGUUAAUCGGAAUUACUGGGCGUAAAGCGUGCGCAGGCGGUUCGUUAUGUCCGUUGUGAAAGCCCCGGGCUCAACCUGGGAAUGGCGGUGGAUACUGGCGGACUAGAGUGCGGUAGAGGGUGGUGGAAUUCCCGGUGUAGCAGUGAAAUGCGUAGAGAUCGGGAGGAACAUCUGUGGCGAAGGCGGCCACCUGGACCAGCACUGACACUGAGGCACGAAAGCGUGGGGAGCAAACAGG
rnacentral:rRNA from 1 species